GACUUCUGGUUUUCUGUGCCUGGCCCGCGGUCAGAAGACCUGUGAGUGCCGGUGUGCCUUUAUCUGGGUGUGGUACGGGCAUUUACCUUGAAAAAAUUAGAGUGUUUCAAGCUUAUGCCAUGAAUACAUUAGCAUGGAAUGAUAGGGAAAGUUGGGGGUGCUAGUAUUGGCCUGUCAGAGGUGAAAUUCUUGGAUUCGGUCAAGACUAACUUAUGCGAAAGAAUUCACCAAGGAUGUCUUCUUCUGUCUCUU
rnacentral:rRNA from 1 species